rnacentral:misc_RNA from 1 species
GAUGAAGAACGUAGCGAAAUGCGAUAAGUAAUGCGAAUUGCAGAAUUCAGUGAGUCAUCGAAUCUUUGAACGCACAUUGCGCCCUGUGGUAUUCCGCAGGGCAUGCCUGUUCGAGCGUCAUUUCAACCCUCAAGCUCUGCUUGGUGUUGGGCCCCGCCCGCUCGCGGCCGGCCCUAAAGACAGUGGCGGCAGCGCCUGGCUCCAAGCGUAGUACAGCUCUCGCUCUGGGGCUAGGCGGUAGUCUGCCAGAACCCCCCUUCUAUGGUUGACCUCGGAUCAGGUAGGGAUACCCGCUGAACUUAAGCAUAUCAAUAAGCGGGA